rnacentral:rRNA from 1 species
UCAUCUUCGGGGGUAGAGCACUGUUUCGACUAGGGGGUCAUCCCGACUUACCAACUCGAUGCAAACUGCGAAUACCGAAGAAUGUUAUCACGGGAGACACACGGCGGGUGCUAACGUCCGUCGUGAAGAGGGAAACAACCCAGACCGCCAGCUAAGGUCCCAAAGUCAUGGUUAAGUGGGAAACGAAGUGGGAAGGCUCAGACAGCCAGGAUGUUGGCUUAGAAGCAGCCAUCAUUUAAAGAAAGCGUAAUAGCUCACUGGUCGAGUCGGCCCGCGCGGAAGAUGUAACGGGGCUAAACCAUGCACCGAAGCUGCGGCAGCGA